AUUAGUCGAUAUAAGAACAGUGGGCAUAGAUUAAUUUCAGGGAUCUGAUUGUAAGCUACGUUCGAGCAUGCCAGAGGUUCAUAAUCAGACGAAGAUAGGAUCAAAGCAAUCAGAUACGUGGUAGUCCUUCAUAAACCUAGCCGACUAGGAUGGAUGGAACAUCCCCAUUUCAGUCCUAUGAGAAUCAAAGUCUUGGGUUCUGGGGGGAGUAUGGUCGCAAGACUGAAACCUGAGAGAAGUGGCGGGAGGGCACCACCAGGAGUGCAGCCUGCGGCUUAAUUGACAAAACAAAGAGGAAAGCGUGACCAGGUCCCGCAUGUAGCUGCUGCGCGGGCGGCGCGGGCCUGAUUCUAUGGGUGGUGGUGCAUGGCCGUCUAGUUGGUGGAGUGAUUUGUCUGGUUAAUUCCGAUAACGAACGAGACCUUAACCUGCUAACUAGAUUCGAUCAUCUUAUGGUCGUUAUCAUAAUAAGAAAGAAAUAUGUAACAUAAAUACAUGGAAGUUUGAGGCAAUAACAGGUCAGUGAUGCCCUUAUAUGUCCUGGGCUGCACGCGUGCUACACUGAUGUAUACAACAAGUGCCUAGUCAGACAUGACAUGGCAAUCUCGAAUAUGCAUCGUGAUGGGGAUAGAUCUUUGCAAUUAUAGAUCUUGAACGAGGAAUUCCUAGUAUGUGCAAGUCAUCAGGGUAAGAAUAAAUUAUGUCCCUGCCCUUUGUACACACCGCCCGUCGCUCCUACCGAUACCGGGUGAUCCGGUGAACCUGUUGGACCCUUUUAAAAACAAGUAAAUCAAUCACCAGAGGAAGGAGAC
rnacentral:rRNA from 1 species